UAAGGAAUAUUGGACAAUGGACGAAAGUCUGAUCCAGCCAUGCCGCGUGAAGGAUUAAGGUCCUCUGGAUUGUAAACUUCUUUUAUAUGGGGCGAAAAAAAGGGCAUUCUUGCUCACUUGACGGUACCAUAUGAAUAAGCACCGGCUAACUCCGUGCCAGCAGCCGCGGUAAUACGGAGGGUGCGAGCGUUAAUCGGAAUUACUGGGCGUAAAGGGUGCGCAGGCGGUUUUGCAAGUCAGAUGUGAAAGCCCCGGGCUUAACCUGGGAAUUGCGUUUGAAACUACAAGGCUAGAGUGCAGCAGAGGGGAGUGGAAUUCCAUGUGUAGCAGUGAAAUGCGUAGAGAUGUGGAAGAACACCGAUGGCGAAGGCAGCUCCCUGGGUUGACACUGACGCUCAUGCA
rnacentral:rRNA from 1 species